GGCCAUUCUGUGUGGGAAUGGGGCAAGGGUGGGGCUCAAGUCCCAUCUUGUCUUAUGUAGGACUCAGAGGUGCUCCAGAUGACUAUGGGCUGAGAGGUGCACCCUCUGUAUGCACACUUGGGAACCGUAUGACCCUUAGACUGGCUGGACAGCAAGACUCUUGAGAGCCCCUGUUUCUGCUGACCCAUCUAUGGAAUCACAGGCAGGGGUGGCUUUUAUGUGGGUCCUGGGAUCCAAACCCAGUUUCUGCAGCACCUUAUGAAAUCUCAUUGUGAAUGUUCGACGAACUUCAGGACGGCGCGAUGCCAUUAUGUCAAAGACUGGCCCACCGCUGCCAGCAGCUUUCAAAGGUUUUGGGGUCUGCAGAGUCCCUGAAGAAUUUUGGCUUGAAGCCCUCUUUCUCCUUCGUUUCUGAAUCCAAUGGUAGAUUAGGCGAAAUGGAAUCCGUAUGGUUCUGAUUCAUUUACACUUAACUCAUCAAAAUGUUCCUUUUUAUGAGCUAUUUGAUGUCCAGAAAGCCUUUUGAGUAGAUUUUAUAAGCCUUUUAAAGACUUUUCUCUUAGAAACAGGCGGUUGCAUUUUGCCAAGAAUAAACAAACUUGAACCUCA
rnacentral:lncRNA from 1 species